CUUUGAAGCCCGGGCCCCCCGCGGAGCGACAUGCGACAGAAGACCUGGUGUAGGGCCGAGGAAAAGGGGAAACAGGGGGAAUAGAGAGGGGGAUGAUGGGAUCAUGCUGCCCCCCCCCUGGCAGAACAUCUGUCUCGUGGGGUUGUCUUCAGCAGCGACUCCUGACACCACCAGAUGGACGGCCUGCUGGGAGCACUGAGCUAUCGCCCACCAGACGACGGCAGGGAUCACACUUCUGGAACCCGCUCCCACACUCCUGGCCCGCGUCAUCUGUCUUUAUGUUGUUGUUGGGCCCGUUGUUGUUGUUAACGUGCGGGUUGUCAGUUCCGUCGCCUCUUUAAGUGUUAACCUUUCAGCGGCUUUGGCCUUGUGACAUGUGUGAUCUGAAAGCUGAUCGGAGGCCCAAGCUUUUGACUUGUGUGUGAGACACUGUGUGUGUGUGUGUGUGUGUGUGUGUGUGUGUGUGUGUGUGUGUGUGU
ensembl:lncRNA